AGAGCUCAGUGGUGGCGCAGAAAGUGUUCACUUCUUCUGUUUCGGGCUGUACGCUGUGGUUCUGCGCCUCCAGGGCUUUGCUGCCUGGCGAGCGUCCUCCCUGUACCACAGGAUCCUUGCCCGACUACAAACCCGAGGCUUCUAUUAGGAUAGUCUGGAUUCGCCAUAGGGGUUUCUCCUAGCGCGGAUUGUGUGUUUGCGUUGGCGAUGCUCAUAGAAGAAAGGCGCAGAGCUGUACGAGGAGGCGGGAUGCACGGGUCAGAGCCCUCGGUGGCCUCCGCCCGCUGCUCUUGGCGCCGGUCCGCUCCUGGAGAUAGCGCGGCAGCCGCCUGGGAGGCGAAGCGCGUAAUCUCCGCGCUACCCACGCGGGGCCGCGGCGUGGUGGCCGCACUUUGGCUUUGGGCGCUGGAUGGACAGUGGGGUAAAGGGUUGGGGUUCCCCUAACGUGGAUUACUUGGUGCUUAUCAACUGGAUUUAGAAGACUCUCGACCUGGUCUCCAUCAUCCGUGGGUUGUCUUUCCAUCUCCCAGCCGCUCUUUCACCUGGAGGUGUGAAACCAGAGCUUCUGCCUGCAUGGAACAAGAGCAAGAGAAAGGCCGAGGAGACUGACCUGCUUAUCCAUGCUACUUAUCAGGAACUGUGGAACCAUGGAGAACAUGACCCUGGCCCUCCCUUCAGGAUCUGCCUGAGAUCUGGCUGCCUCUUGAGACACUAGAGCCCUGGAUUCAAUUGCGGAACAUUAUGUUGGAGAAUAUAAACACUUCUAGACUGUGCCGGCAUUUGGGAAGGAAUAGUCUGUUUUGACUUGAAUGAACAAAGACAUACGUCUCUGGGCCUGGGGAAGGCUUACCAGCUCAGCUCAUCUACUGUCUGGUGGCAAACAUGUCCUGGGUACUGCCACUACCCAGGACACUCUUCCUCACUCUGUCCCUGUCCAGUUACCGCACCCUUCCCUGUCUGACCCCGCCUCCUGUGCCCACUCGCCUCUGGACCCAGAGAUUCUUCUUGUUUGCUCUAUCAUCCUUGAGCCGGAUACAGGGUGAAUAGUUAACCACACUUGGGUUGAAUGGGAUCUUGAUUCUUAUUUCUGUUCCUUGGAAAGAGGGGUCAGACUCGGUGCGUGGCACCCGGCCUGGAAGCAGCACAAGACUCCAGAGUGAUACAUGAUCUGCCUGGAUGGUCCCAGGGGCUCUUUGGAGGUCAGAGCAAGAGGAGCAGCCUGAGCAGGGGGGCUGAGGAGGGCCGGCACUGGAUCACACGCAGGCGUAUGUCUGGAUAGGCAGAGAGGAACCCACUUUUCAUUCCCUCUUCUGUGACACAAAUGCAAGGAACUUUGAAGACACUCUUCGGAGGUUGCAAUCGGAGAUCAGCUUAUCCAAGGGCUUCAUGUCUGAGCUCUGUUGGUCGUGCCUCCUGAGGACCUCUUUCCUCUACUGUAUGCUGAUGACACACCCAUCCGAUGGGAGCUGGAGCCUUGUCUGGUCCUUUCCUCUAUGACCCCACGUGUACAGUUGGAAAUCCUUCCUAAUCAUGCCUUGAUUCCCCCUUUUCGACUACACUCAAAGAUGUUUGAGCUGUUUUAUUUGCAAAAUGGAUGGACAGUUUGUUUAUAUAAAACAAUCCCAGCUUCCUUGUGCUCUAUCUGGUGUGUUUGUAUGGCUCUUCAGUGACUUUAAAGUGGAGCAUUGACCUUGGCCUCUUUGAUUCUCCAUGGUGGAAUAGAGAAGACCUCUUGAGGAUGCUUAAUGUUGCUGAGAUCUUAAGAAGGCUUGCAGACUUCCUCUUCCUCCCUCCUUCUCCCACCUCCUCCUUCCCUAAGCAGCCUCUGCAUUGUAUAAAUUCCUUUAUAUAAAUUCCUCUG
ensembl:lincRNA 2610035D17Rik RIKEN cDNA 2610035D17 gene